UAGAAAAUUAUAUAGUCAACAUAGUUCUAGCUAGGUCAAUCAGUAGUAGUAGUCCCCUGUUGGUUUUGGUUACCUUGAGAGUUUUUUUCAAUUCGAUACCUUCACUAAUUCUCUGCUCUCGUGUGCGUGACAGGCGGACAGUUUUUUACUUUGAGGAAAACUUAUAAAAAAAAACGGAUGUUAGCUAAAACACGUAACCAGUAAAUUAAAGGCCAACAAGUAAGAUGUUUUUUGCACCUGCAGGUGCGUGGUGGGCACGGCGUCGGGCGGGCUCUUCCUGGCGAGGCCUUCGCGCAGCCUCGUCUCGCGCACCAGCUCGGGCGUGGCCAGGCGCCGCAUCGGCUGUAUCGACGCCAUGCGCAGAUGAAUUUAUUUACUCUUGGCAUCGAGACGUCAAGCUCGAUGGGUUUUUCCACCUCUGGCCGAUCGGGCAUUACGAAAUGGUGUCCGAGCAGUGGCUCAUCAGGCGGCGCGCCAUACGUUAGCUUCAGUUCUUCCUUGGUGAUGUCGCUUAACAGGUCUAUCACCUUCUGACCAGGCACGUAGCGUGACACCACACCACCAUUUAAUACCUGUUAAGAUGGCCUUGAAUUAAGAACACGUUUUAAUGAUAUUUAGGAAAUGCCUGUCAACUAUUCAGAACUUAUAAGAGCAUACCUUGAAGGUGGUAGAGCUAGCAAUUUUUUUCACAUCAGGUGGAAAACGUGUAACUUCCAACGUCCACGGCACGAAGCUGCCGAGCGUCUGCAGGUACUCACCAGAGAUACGCCACAAGCGCACACUGUAGUCUGAACUGCCGCUGAAAAUUGACAUCAUCUAUCGAUACUGGUUACCGUCUUUACUAUAUUUAAGUAUGCUAUUGUAUUUUCUAUGGGCCUUAGAUGCCUGAUGCAAAUAAAUAAAUAAAUAAA
rnacentral:lncRNA from 1 species